rnacentral:lncRNA from 1 species
GCGGCGGCGGCGGCGGGACUGGCCCUGCGCCCGGGCACCGCCUGCGCUGCGCCGCCCGGCCUCACUCCGCGGCCCGCCAGGACCCGGCCCCGGUGAACGGGCUCGGGGUGCCGAGGUCCGGCUGCGGGGCCGGGAAGCCACCUCCACCUUGCCGUCUGUUACGACCCCCGAGGCGCAAGGCUGAGCCCCAUCUCGCUAUCCGGGUCCGGAGGGGUUCACCUUAGAAGGAUUUUUUGAAGCUCUUGGCGCUGGCUCUAAAAGAACCCACUUCCUUGCGGAUUUCAGGAGUCAAGAAUCCUUAAACGGAGCCAAUUUGCUUUGUAAAGCCAAUUGCCCAAGUGACUUGAGUUCGAAAGGAGAUACUUCCUGGACAACUGCUAUAAAAACAACAACAAAUACUUUUAUUAAUUCGGGGAGCCUGGUCACCAACUGGAUGCUCAGAUGGAACCCUGAGCAGCCCAUGUACAUGGAAGAUCUUUAUUGCAGAGAUCUUCAAACCAGAACAAAACAAUCAGCAGGCGGGUCUGCGGCAUUCUAAGAACAGACACUGGCAGGAACAAAGGUUACAGAAGUGAAUGACUCUAAGAAUCAAGCAAGACAUGGAGUGGCAGAAAAUUAAAUUCUGAAUCCCUAAAAGACAUGAUGCAAAGAUGACCUCCUCUCCCAAGGACAUGUCCUCAUCCUGCGCUGACCGUGUGUGGUCAUUUCAGAAAAAGCGAACAAUGGAGAACCUGCUUGAAUGAUACUUAGACCUGGGACAACUGAAAGGAGUUGCACUUAUACAAUUCGGUGCAGUGGAGUCCCCUGGGAGGAGCCCCAGUCACACGGGAAGAGACAGUCACAGCUGUAAUAAAUGAUGGCUAGCAUGUAUCAAGCACUGGCCGAGUCCUCAGCAUACAUUACAUUACAGAAUUCAGUGUGCACCUCAACACUCUGGGGGUGUAUUUUAUAGGAGAACUGUGGCACAAAGAGGGUAAGUGUCUUACUAACAGUGUGGCUCAUCUGCCAA